rnacentral:rRNA from 1 species
UACGUAGGUGGCAAGCGUUGUCCGGAAUUAUUGGGCGUAAAGCGCGCGCAGGCGGUCUUUUAAGUCUGAUGUGAAAGCCCACGGCUCAACCGUGGAGGGUCAUUGGAAACUGGGGGACUUGAGUGCAGAAGAGAAGAGUGGAAUUCCAUGUGUAGCGGUGAAAUGCGUAGAGAUGUGGAGGAACACCAGUGGCGAAGGCGACUCUUUGGUCUGUAACGUGACGCUGAGGCGCGAAAGCGUGGGGAGCAAACAGG